ACCCGGGUGGCUCAGUUGGUUGAGCAUCUGACUUCGGCUCAGGUCACGAUAUCGUGGUUUGUGAGUUCGAGCCCCGCGUCGGGCU
rnacentral:tRNA from 1 species